rnacentral:rRNA from 1 species
UUGGAGGGCAAGUCUGGUGCCAGCAGCCGCGGUAAUUCCAGCUCCAAUAGCGUAUAUUAAAGUUGUUGCAGUUAAAAAGCUCGUAGUUGAAUUUCGGGAUCAAUAUGCCGGUCAUGCCUUGGUAUGCACUGGUAUCUUUGAUUUCUCCCUUCUGACGAACUUUGAUGUCAUUAAUUUGGUGUCAUAGGGAAUCAGGACUGUUACUUUGAAAAAAUUAGAGUGUUUAAAGCAAGCUCACGCUUGAAUACAUUAGCAUGGAAUAAUGAAAUAGGACGUUUGAUUCUAUUUUGUUGGUUUCUAGGAUCGACGUAAUGAUUAAUAGGGAUAGUUGGGGGCAUUAGUAUUCAAUUGUCAGAGGUGAAAUUCUUGGAUUUAUUGAAGACUAACUACUGCGAAAGCAUUUGCCAAGGAUGUUUUCAUUAAUCAGGAACGAAAGUUAGGGGAUCGAAGACGAUCAGAUACCGUCGUAGUCUUAACCAUAAACUAUGCCGACUAGGGAUCGGACGGUGUUAUUUUCUGACCCGUUCGGCACCUUACGGGAAAC